AGAAAGCCAUCAAAACAAUUGAAGUUUAAAAGUAAUGAUGACUUUCUUUAAGGUUAUAUGUUGGGCUCUCAUAUUUAUAAUAAGAAUCCGUUUUCCGCCUGGCAAAUCUCUAGCUACGAUAUAUGCAAAUGAAGUUUACGUAAUCGUAUCUAUGAUGUAAUAAUUUAUGCUGAACCUAACACAUGCGCAGUUCACGACGAGCUUCUCUCUCGAUCUAUUCAAUAUGGUGGUCAAUCAAGAAAUGUUUUUGCUUGCAAAAAGAUCGUAAAUUGUUGGCGCUACAAGCUCGGAAAGAUUGUAAAUGAGAUCAGGCUUUUAUCAGCUCACAGAAUAACAAGAAGGAAGCAUCCAAACAAAUUCAUUUGUAACAUGGUGGAUAACAAAGUCCCUCUUUGAAAACGUACUUCAGUCAUUUUACGAUUGUAAAUGAGAUCAGGCUUUUAUCAGCUCACAGAAUAACAAGAAGGAAGCAUCCAAACAAAUUCAUUUGUAACAUGGUGGAUAACAAAGUCCCUCCUUGAAAACCUACUUCAGUCAUUUUACGAUUAAAAGUCCAGCGAGAAAUGAAGUGAAAGGCGAUUUGAAAACCACGAGGUAAGGCAAUUGGUGGCGAUCGAAGGUGGACAGCAAGAUCGAAGCUCAGCAAGAUUGAAGAUUGUUCGAAGAAGAAGGAGUUCGCCGUUGACUAAAAGGUUUAUCUGAACAGCUAGUUGUCAAGAUGAAUGCGAAGACUCGCCCGGCCAAAUUCAAAAUGGCGAUGCCAAAGAAAACCAUCCACCUGGACCGUUCGCAGACCUUUCUGGGCAAGAUUGUUGUGCUGUCUGGUCAAACCAGUUAUCAAGACGAACGUCAAGAGAACAGUUGAAAUAG